GAUGAACGCUAGCGACAGGCUUAACACAUGCAAGUCGAGGGGCAGCACAGGUAGCAAUACCGGGUGGCGACCGGCGCACGGGUGAGUAACGCGUAUGCAACUUACCUAUCAGAGGGGGAUAACCCGGCGAAAGUCGGACUAAUACCGCAUGAAGCAGGGGCCCCGCAUGGGGAUAUUUGCUAAAGAUUCAUCGCUGAUAGAUAGGCAUGCGUUCCAUUAGGCAGUUGGCGGGGUAACGGCCCACCAAACCGACGAUGGAUAGGGGUUCUGAGAGGAAGGUCCCCCACAUUGGUACUGAGACACGGACCAAACUCCUACGGGAGGCAGCAGUGAGGAAUAUUGGUCAAUGGGCGUAAGCCUGAACCAGCCAAGUCGCGUGAGGGAUGAAGGUUCUAUGGAUCGUAAACCUCUUUUAUAAGGGAAUAAAGUGCGGGACGUGUCCCGUUUUGUAUGUACCUUAUGAAUAAGGAUCGGCUA
rnacentral:rRNA from 1 species